AAAGAACUUCGGUCAAGGAUGGACUCGCGGCCUAUCAGGUAGUUGGUGAGGUAACGGCUCACCAAGCCGACGACGGGUAGCCGGCCUGAGAGGGUGACCGGCCACACUGGGACUGAGACACGGCCCAGACUCCUACGGGAGGCAGCAGUGGGGAAUAUUGCACAAUGGGCGCAAGCCUGAUGCAGCAACGCCGCGUGAGGGACGACGGCCUUCGGGUUGUAAACCUCUUUUAGUAGGGAAGAAGCGAAAGUGACGGUACCUGCAGAAAAAGCACCGGCUAACUACGUGCCAGCAGCCGCGGUAAUACGUAGGGUGCAAGCGUUGUCCGGAAUUAUUGGGCGUAAAGAGCUCGUAGGCGGUUUGUCGCGUCUGCUGUGAAAACCCGAGGCUCAACCUCGGGCCUGCAGUGGGUACGGGCAGACUAGAGUGCGGUAGGGGAGAUUGGAAUUCCUGGUGUAGCGGUGGAAUGCGCAGAUAUCAGGAGGAACACCGAUGGCGAAGGCAGAUCUCUGGGCCGUAACUGACGCUGAGGAGCGAAAGCGUGGGGAGCGAACAGGAUUAGAUACCCUGGUAGUCCACGCCGUAAACGUUGGGAACUAGAUG
rnacentral:rRNA from 1 species